GUGGGGAAUCUUCCGCAAUGGACGAAAGUCUGACGGAGCGACGCCGCGUGAGUGAUGAAGGCCUUCGGGUCGUAAAGCUCUGUCAUCGGAGACGAACGGCCUCAGCAGGUAAUGGCUGGGGAUUGACGGUACCCGAGAAGGAAGCCACGGCUAACUACGUGCCAGCAGCCGCGGUAAUACGUAGGUGGCAAGCGUUGUCCGGAAUUAUUGGGCGUAAAGCGCGCGCAGGUGGGAUCUUAAGUCCAUUUUGAAAGUUCGGAGCUCAACUCCGUGAUGGGAUGGAAACUGGGAUUCUUGAGUACCGGAGAGGAAAGCGGAAUUCCCCGUGUAGCGGUGAAAUGCGUAGAUAUGGGGAGGAACACCAGUGGCGAAGGCGGCUUUCUGGACGGUGUCUGACACUGAGGCGCGAAAGCCAGGGGAGCGAACGGGAUUAGAUACCCCAGUAGUCC
rnacentral:rRNA from 1 species